rnacentral:rRNA from 1 species
GACGAACGCUGGCGGCGUGCUUAACACAUGCAAGUCGAACGGAAAGGCCCUGCUUUUGUGGGGUGCUCGAGUGGCGAACGGGUGAGUAACACGUGAGUAACCUGCCCUUGACUUUGGGAUAACUUCAGGAAACUGGGGCUAAUACCGGAUAGGAGCUCCUGCUGCAUGGUGGGGGUUGGAAAGUUUCGGCGGUUGUGGAUGGUUUCGCGGCUUAUCAGCUUGUUGGUGGGGUAGGGGCUUACCAAGGCUUUGACGGGUAGCCGGCCUGAGAGGGUGACCGGCCACAUUGGGACUGAGAUACGGCCCAGUCUCCUACGGUCGGCAGCAGGCGGGAAUAUUGCACAAUGGGCGGACGCCUGAUGCAGCAACGCUGCGUGCGGGAUGACGGCCUUCUGGUGGUAAACCGCUUUCGCCUGUGACGAAGCGUGAGUGACGGUAAUGGGUAAAGAAGCACCGGCUAACUACGUG